GAUGAACGCUAGCGACAGGCCUAACACAUGCAAGUCGAGGGGUAACAUUAUUUUAGUUUACUAUAAUAGAUGACGACCGGCGCACGGGUGAGUAACACGUAUACAACCUGCCUUUAACAUUGGGAUAACCCGUUGAAAAGCGGACUAAUACCAAAUGAUAUAAUUUUAUCGCAUGAUAUUUUUAUUAAAGAUUUAUUGGUUUUAGAUGGGUAUGCGUAUGAUUAGUUUGUUGGUAAGGUAACGGCUUACUAAGACUUCGAUCAUUAGGGGUUCUGAGAGGAAGGUCCCCCACACUGGUACUGAGACACGGACCAGACUCCUACGGGAGGCAGCAGUGAGGAAUAUUGGUCAAUGGGCGAGAGCCUGAACCAGCCAAGUCGCGUGAAGGAUGACUGCCCUCUGGGUUGUAAACUUCUUUUGUAUAGGAAUAACGGGCUCCACGUGUGGAGUUAUGCAUGUACUAUACGAAUAAGGAUCGGCUAACUCCGUGCCAGCAGCCGCGGUAAUACGGAGGAUCCAAGCGUUAUCCGGAUUUAUUGGGUUUAAAGGGUGCGUAGGUGGACUUAUAAGUCAGCGGUGAAAGUUUGUAGCUCAACUAUAAAAUUGCCGUUGAAACUGUAGGUCUUGAGUUCAAGUGAGGUUGGCGGAAUGUGUCAUGUAGCGGUGAAAUGCUUAGAUAUGACCCAGAACUCCGAUUGCGUAGGCAGCUGACUGGUAUGCGACUGACACUGAUGCACGAAAGCGUGGGUAUCAAACAGG
rnacentral:rRNA from 1 species